rnacentral:tRNA from 1 species
GCGGGAAUGGUGGAAUUGGUAGACACGAUAGCUUGAGGGGCUAUUGAUGGAAACAUCAUGGGGGUUCGAGUCCCUUUUCCCGCACCA